rnacentral:rRNA from 1 species
UACAGAGACUGCAAGCGUUAUUCGGAUUUACUGGGCGUAAAGGGUGCGCAGGCGGCCGGGUGUGUCAGAUGUGAAAUCCCGAGGCUUAACCUCGGAACUGCGUCUGAAACUACUCGGCUAGAGUACUGGAGAGGGUAGCGGAAUUCACGGUGUAGCAGUGAAAUGCGUAGAUAUCGUGAGGAACACCAGAGGCGAAGGCGGUUACCUGGACAGUUACUGACGCUCAGGCACGAAAGCAUGGGGAGCAAAAGGG